rnacentral:misc_RNA from 1 species
GAUGAAGAACGUAGCGAAAUGCGAUACUUGGUGUGAAUUGCAGAAUCCCGUGAACCAUCGAGUCUUUGAACGCAAGUUGCCCCGAAGCCAUUAGGCCGAGGGCACGCCUGCCUGGGCGUCACACGUCGUUGCCCCCCCAUCUACUCCUUCGGGAUUGCGGGGGGCGGAUGAUGGCCUCCCGUGCGCCUCGUCGCGCGGUUGGCAUAAAUGCCAAGUCCUCGGCGACGCACGCCACGACAAUCGGUGGUUGCGAAACCUCGGUUGCCCGUCGUGUGCGGUCGUCGCGCAUCGAGGGCUCGAAAAAAUUGCCGGGCUCCGGCUCGGCUUUCAACGCGACCCCAGGUCAGGCGGGGUUACCCGCUGAAUUUAAGCAUAUCAAUAAGCGGAGGA